rnacentral:rRNA from 1 species
GCUGGCGGCAUGCCUCAUACAUGCAAGUCGAACGAGGUCUUCGGACCUAGUGGCGCACGGGUGAGUAACAUGUGGGAAUCUACCUAAAGGUUCGGAAUAACUGCGGGAAACUGUAGCUAAUACCGGAUGUGUCUGCAAAGAGAAAGAUUUAUCGCCUUUAGAUGAGCCCGCACUAGAUUAGCUAGUUGGUGAGGUAAAUGCUCCACCAAGGCUACGAUCUAUAGCUGAUUUGAGAGGAUGAUCAGCCACACUGGGACUGAGACACGGCCCAGACUCCUACGGGAGGCAGCAGUAGGGAAUAUUGGACAAUGGGGGAAACCCUGAUCCAGCAAUGCCGCGUGAGUGAAGAAGGCCUUCGGGUUGUAAAACUCUUUCAUCAAUGAUGAUAAUGACAUUAGUUGAAGAAGAAGCUCCGGCUAACUUCGUGCCAGCAGCCGCGGUAAUACGAAGGGGGCUAGCGUUGUUCGGAAUCACUGGGCGUAAAGCGUAUGUAGGCGGAUCAAAAAGUUAGAUGUGAAAUCCCUGGGCUCAACCCAGGAACUGCAUUUAAAACUAGUGAUCUAGAAUUUGGUAAGGGUUAGUAGAAUUUCCAGUGUAGAGGUGAAAUUCGUAGAUAUUGGAAAGAAUACCAGAAGCGAAGGCGACUAACUAGGCCAUUUUUGACGCUGAGAUACGAAAGCGUGGGUAGCAAACAGGAUUAGAUACCCUGGUAGUCCACGCAGUAAACGAUGAGUGCUAGUCGCUGGUGCAAUAGUAUCAGUGUCGUAGCUAACGCAUUAAGCACUCCGCCUGGGAAGUACGGUCGCAAGAUAAACUAAAAGGAAUGCG